UGACUGGGCAGCAGGAGCAGGUGGUUCUUGGUCACAUGAUGUUGUUAGCCGAGGCUGAGGAGCAGCAAGAUCUGAGCUGAAUCACAGCCCACAUCACUCUCUACGUUGAAAGGCACAUACAGCUGACACGCCACCAACCAUCAGGCAGAAUGUCGUAUGGGUCCAUUGACGGAGGCUCUUUUGGUAGUCGCAACCCAUUUGGAGGUCCUACGAGGCAGGGCUACCAGCCAGUAGCCACACAGGUCAGCCCCUCAGAACUGCAAGAUGUGUUUCAGGAGACCUCCUCCAAUAUCUUCCAGAUCAACGCCAACGUUGUCACACUAGAGAAGAAUCUUCAAUCACUCGGAACAUCUAGAGAUACAGCAGAGCUACGACAGAGUCUACACUCCAUUCAGCAGCAAACCAACAAAGUCAUCACCAGCACAAGCCAACUCAUCAAACAGCUCUCUGAUAUAAUCAGUGGCUCUUCACGGCAAGACCGUCUGCACCUGACCAGACUAAAGACUGAACUCUCAGAGUCUGUGCAGCGCUAUGGGGAUCUGCAGAAGAAAAUUGCAGAGCGUUCAAGGGCCUUGCUCCCUCCAGCGCAGACAGACAAGAAUAAGAGUCCUCAGACCCCAUCCACUGAGCAGAUGGAGGAGGGUCCACUGUUUGGAGAAGUGGUAGGCUCCGAGGGAGGGGCUCAGGCUUUCCUGUCAGAGAUCAGUGAGGAGGACGUGGAGGCGCUUCGCCAAAGAGAGGAGGCCCUGCUACACAUCGAAAGAGAUAUGCUGGACGUCAGUCAAAUCAUGAAGGAUCUGGCCAGUAUGGUCCAUGAACAAGGCGACGCCAUAGACAGCAUUGAAGAUUACAUCCAGACUACAUCAUCCAACGUUGAAUCAGCCAAUCAGGAGCUUGCAAAAGCCAACCAAUACCAGAGGCAGCUGAGGAAGAGGAAGUGCUACCUGCUGGUGGCCGGAGGCAUCGUUCUCAUCGUCCUCAUCAUCAUCAUUGCUGUUUCGGCGAGGAAAUGAGACCGGCCACUGUGGUAGCUGCUGUCAUUACCGUGUCACCGCAGCGCUCUGGCCCGGUCUGAUCCCUGACCCGAGCAGCUGGUUUCCAGUAGGAGGGAGCUGCCCUGCAACAACGUCUCUACUCCAUCAUCCCUGCCUCUGUUUACAACUGCAUCAGCCUGGGGACAGAGGCCUUUCUCCGCAUACCAAUUUAUCCAGAGUGAGCCCCGGUCGGAGACUCUCAUGUAAUCCUUUAAUUUAUUUAUUUAUUUAUUUUUCGUUGCUGUUACUGUUAGUGUGUCUCAAUUCGGAUACUUCAGUGAGUGCACUUACAUGUAGUGCACUGUGAACACUUGUACGGUGCGUACAUUUCGACAGGGAAGUGCUGUCUCAAAUCGCGCACAGCCGUUAAGCACUGACUGGAAAUUACUCUUCUUCUUCUUCAGUUUAAUGGUAGUCUCACAUUGCCAGACCUUCCUCCACAGAGCUAUUGGACAGAUAGUCUAGCUAGCUG